rnacentral:tRNA from 1 species
GCCCACGUGGCGGAAUUGGUAGACGCGCAAGGUUGAGGGCCUUGUGUCCUAUUUGGACGUGCUAGUUCGACUCUAGUCGUGGGCAC